GACGAACGCUGGCGGCGUGCUUAACACAUGCAAGUCGAACGGAAAGGCCCUGCUUUUGUGGGGUGCUCGAGUGGCGAACGGGUGCGUAACACGUGAGUAACCUGCCCUUGACUUUGGGAUAACUUCAGGUAACUGGGGCUAAUACCGUAUAGGAUCUCCUGCUGCAUGGUGGGGGUUGGAAAGUUUCGGCGGUUGGGGAUGGACUCGCGGCUUAUCAGCUUGUUGGUGGGGUAGUGGCUUACCAAGGCUUUGACGGGUAGCCGGCCUGAGAGGGUGACCGGCGACAUUGGGACUGAGAGACGGCGCAGACGCAUACGGGAGGCAGCAGGGGGGAAUAUUGCACAAUGGGCGGAAGCCUGAUGCAGCAACGCCGCGUGCGGGAUGACGGCCUGCGGGUUGUAAACCGCUGUCGCCUGUGACGAAGCGUGAGUGACGGUAAUGGGUAAAGAAGCACCGGCUAACUACGUG
rnacentral:rRNA from 1 species